rnacentral:lncRNA from 1 species
UUUGGAAAACAAAAGGUCCUGGAAUGGAGUAUUUUUUAAUCAACAGCAUUGUCCUAUAUUAGUGGUAAAUAAAGUUGAAUUCUUUGAUUCGCUGUUUUACGUCAUGCCCGCUAACAAAUUGAAACUUAUUUUUAGUCCAGAUUUUUAGUAUUCGUAUUGUUAUCUUAGAAAGUCUUACGGAUUAAAAUACUACAAUAGGUAACAAUUUGACAAUUUAAUAGUGUCAACCCUGUGAUUAUGACCCGUUUAUAUAGCAUAUUAAAUCCUGAAUACACCGUUUGGUGGUGCGCCUGUCAGAUGCGGAACGU